UUUUAAAGUUGGCCGAUGAAGAAAUACACCUGGGUGGAGUUUAGAAUCACAUGAGAAGAUAUGAUACAAUUCCACGUAGAAUAAAGGAGAGAGAGAUUGGAUUUAGUUGAAAGCUCUCAAUUGCUUUGGGGGACGUCAAGUUUUCCCACUAACGGGCUCUGUGGUGAUUGUGAAGGCUACGUGAAGUUUGUAUUGAUAAAGUUUGUACCAGGAAGAAGACGUCAGCUACCACCUCUGCUUCAAAUGACUCUUCUGCUUCUCUCUGGUGACCCUUUUCCGCUCACUCGUCCUUCCCUGCAUGCCUUCAGAGUCUGAGAACUCUCAAUCUAGCCAAACAACCAGACUCAAAGAUGCAAGAACCUGAAAAGCAAAGUGGACUCUGGAAUAAGCAAAACAAUCUUCUCUUUUUCAGACCAUGUUUCCUCCCCAAUUGUUAAACUAUGAACAUUUUCAAAUACACGAAAAAGUUGAAAUAAAAUGAACACCUGAAUGGCUACCA
rnacentral:lncRNA from 1 species